AUGGUGCGAGGCCUGCCAUGCCUCGACCAUGUGGAGCAGUUCUGCGACAUCUGCGAGCGGACGAAGCAGAGACGACUCCCCUUUCCCCAGCAGGCGAGUUUUUGGGCCAAGGAGAGGCUGGAGCUCGUGCACGGAGAUCUGUGCGGCCCGGUGACGCCAGCCACACCAGGAGGUCGACGCUAUUUCCUGUUGCUCGUCGACGAUCUCUCUCGCUACAUGUGGGUGAUGGUCCUCGGCAGUAAGGGAGAGGCGGCGGACGCCAUCAGGCGCGCGCAGGCUGCUGUGGAGGCGGAGAGCGGCUGCAAAUUGCGUGUGUUGUGCACUGACAAUGGCGGUGAAUUCACGGCGGCUGAAUUCGCGUCGUACUGCGCUGAUGAGGGCAUCCAGCGCCACUACUCCGCACCGUACAGCCCACAGCAAAACGGCGUCGUCGAGCGGCGCAACCAAAUGGUUGUGGGGAUGGCUCGGGCUCUCCUCAAGCAGAGAGGGAUGCCGGCUGUUUUCUGGGGAGAGGCGGUGCUAACAGCCGUCUACAUCCUAAACCGCUCGCCUACUAACGCACUCGACGGCAGGACACCGUACGAGGCCUGGCAUGGGCGGAAGCCGGCGGUCUCCAACUUGCGGGUCUUUGGCUGCCUUGCGUUCGCCAAGGAGCUCGGCCACAUCGGCAAGCUUGACGACAGGAGUACUCCGGGAGUCUUCAUCGGCUACGCGGAGGGCUCAAAGGCCUACCGCAUCCUCGACCCAAAGCCACAACAUGUGCACACGGCGCGAGACGUCGUGUUCAACGAAGGGCGAGGGUGGCAAUGGGACAAGAUGGUGGACGACGGCUUGACACCGACGUAUGACGACUUCAUUGUCGAGUACGCCCACUUUAAGGAAGCCGGGGGAGCAAGCAGCUCCUCUUCGCCGGGCACGUCUACCCCGGCCCCCAAAACUACAUCGACUCCGGUGCCUGCUACGCCGAUGGCACCACAGCCGGCAACGCCGCAUACUCCAGCCCCAGCAGUCACCACUUCGGGCUCGUCUUCAUCAGCACCAGCUCAUGCAGAGCACAACCCGAUGAAGUUCGCUUCCCCGCUCACUCACGACGAGGAGCGUAUCGACGCGUAUCAUGGCGGUGAACCGCUGCGGUAUCGUACGAUGGAUAAUCUACUAGGCGACCAGCCGGUGCCGGGACUGGUGCCAUGUGACCUGGAGGCGCGGCUACAACUUGCGUGUGAGGACGGCGAACCACGGUCCUUUGCAGAGGCCGAGAGAGACGCGGCAUGGCGCGCCACAAUGCAGUUGGAGAUGGAUGCGGUCGAGCAAAACCGCACCUGGGAGCUCGCUGACCUCCCUCGUGGUCACCGAGCAAUCACCCUUAAGUGGGUGUUCAAGCUGAAGAGGGAUGGAGCCGGCGCCAUCAUCAAUUACAAGGCUCGCUUGGUGGCCCGAGGCUUCUUGCAGCAGGAAGGAGUCGACUUCGACAACGCUUUCGCUCCCGUGGCACGGAUGGAGUCCGUGCGACUUCUCCUUGCGCUAGCUGCCCAGGAGGGCUGGCGUGUCCAUCACAUGGAUGUCAAGUCGGCAUUCCUCAACGGCGACUUGAAGGAGGAAGUCUACGUGCAUCAGCCACCGGGAUUUACGAUCCCCGACCAGGAGGGCAAGGUACUCCACCUGCGUAAGGCUCUCUAUGGCCUACGGCAGGCACCUAGGGCAUGGAACGCCAAGCUGGACUCCACGCUAAAGAAGAUGGGCUUCGAGAAAAGCCCGCAUGAGGCGGCCGUCUACCGACGGGGCAGUGGAGGAAAUGCCCUGCUGGUGGGCGUCUAUGUUGACGACUUGGUGAUCACCGACACCAAAGAUGCAGAGGUGGCGGCGUUCAAGGAAGACAUGAAGGCCACCUUCCAAAUGAGUGAUCCGGGGCUCCUCUCCUUCUAUCUAGGGAUUGAGUCCGCCUAUGCCAAGCGCAUCGUUGAGCUAGCUGGGCUCACCGACUGCCACCCAGCUCUCACUCCGAUGGAGGAGAGGCUGAAACUGAGCCGCGACAGCACGGCGGAGGAAGUGGAUGCUACGCAGUACCGAUGCCUUGUGGGGAGCCUUUGCUACCUCGCCCACACACGGCCGGACUUGGCAUUCUCCGUCGGCUAUGUCAGUCGGUUCAUGGAGCGACCGACGUCGGAGAACCAGCAGGCAGUGAAGAGGAUCGUCCGCUACGUGGCAGGGACCCUCGACCACGGCCUCCACUACCCUAGGUGUCUGGGGGCGGCACACUUCGUCGGGUACAGCAACAGCGACCACGCCGGCGACAUCGACACCAGCAAGAGCACGAGCAGGAUCCUCUUCUUCCUCGGCAAGUGUCUCGUGAGCUAG
rnacentral:rRNA from 1 species